rnacentral:rRNA from 1 species
AAGAAGGCCUUCGGGUUGUAAAGCUCUUUCAGAUGCGAAGAUGAUGACGGUAACAUCAGAAGAAGCCCCGGCUAAUUUCGUGCCAGCAGCCGCGGUAAUACGAAAGGGGCUAGCGUUGUUCGGAUUUACUGGGCGUAAAGGGCACGCAGGCGGUCUUGCCAGUCAGGGGUGAAAGCCCGAGGCUCAACCUCGGAACUGCCUCUGAUACUGUAAGACUUGAGACUAGGAGAGGGUGGUGGAAUUCCCAGUGUAGAGGUGAAAUUCGUAGAU